GUGAGCAUAGUUUAACAAAAAUGCCAGAUUGUGAUUCUGAAGAUAGGGGUUAAAACCCCCUCGCCCACC
rnacentral:tRNA from 1 species